rnacentral:lncRNA from 1 species
GAGGGAGAAACCUGCUGCCGCUCGCCGGCUCUUUGUCUGCUCGGGGACUUGGAACAAAAGGGGAAACUCUGAUGAACUCUCUCCAUCCUCCUCCUCUCUGACGCCUGGUUAUCUUUCCUCUCACAACUUUGCUGGAGAGACUCUCUCCAGCGCUAGGCACCCAACAAGUUCGGGGGCUUUAGGAACUGGAGUUAGAGAACCAUCUCUUUUAGAAUGGAUAAAAGAGGGGGGAAAAGAAGGUGCCAGAAUGAUGAUGGGCAACAUCUAGGAAGCAAGACAAUGGCUAGAAUACCUUUCUAGCAAGGUACCUUCUCCAGGCUGCAUUGUUUUUGUUGGACAUUUCUGACAAUGGAUAUAGCCAGGCCAAACAAUUACGGAGUGAAAGACGCUAACCUUCGCUUGGGAUUAUCGUUUAAGAAUUGAGUUUUGGAUAUGACAUGACUAUUAUGAAGGAUACUGUUACUGUUGGAAAUACAACUUCUUGAUCACUGGGAAUUCUCUGCCUUAUGGAAGAAGUCCAAGUGUCAAACACUAGAGAGAUAUGCGGUGAUUCAGAGUUGAAAUGGGAAGAAAAUGAUACCUGGAAAGAAAAUAUGGCUUCAGGUAAUGACUAAAUCCCAUUUUACUGGAUGGCCACUGAAGCAUGAUCACAAGACAGUCAGAAUGGUGGAUAAGUGCUCCUCAGGCAAAAUCCAUCUACUGAAAGAAACUACUGCAUUGCUCUCUCCAGAAGAAAAUGUAUCUUUGAUAUUAAAAUGUUAUGAAGGAGUACAAAUGAGAGAGGAGAUCUGUCAAAUGGCACUGGCUAUGGAGGUAUCGAGGCCAAGUGUGACUGCCAGGAAGGAGCUGGGAGCAGCCAAAGAGACUGAGCAUGUCAGACUUCUCUCCCAGCCUGCCACACACACUUAAAACCCAAAGGAAAUAAGCAGGGAUCAGUGGGAGGAAGGGAGCCAACCAGCUCUGACCUGCUUUCUUCAUGAAUCCUUGACUUUGAAAUCAAACCUGGUCUUAAUACCCAGCAGGUGUCAUCAGGGUUCUUGGAUCAGUAGCUGAAGGAAAACUGAGAUGCAGGUGAGAGGGGAUUAAUUUGAUUACUUCAUGGCAUAACACAUCUAUGAAUAUUAGAAUAUAGAAGGAGA